GAUCAUGGCUCAGGAUGAACGCUAGCUACAGGCUUAACACAUGCAAGUCGAGGGGCAGCAUGGUCUUAGCUUGCUAAGACUGAUGGCGACCGGCGCACGGGUGAGUAACACGUAUCCAACCUGCCGUCUACUCUUGGACAGCCUUCUGAAAGGAAGAUUAAUACAAGAUGGCGUCAUGAGUCCGCAUGUUCACAUGAUUAAAGGUAUUCCGGUAGACGAUGGGGA
rnacentral:rRNA from 1 species